GAGUGAAGCGGCAACAGCUCAAAUUUGAAAUCUGGCUUCGGCCCGAGUUGUAAUUUGUAGAGGAUGCUUUUGGUGAGGUGCCUUCUGAGUUCCCUGGAACGGGACGCCAGAGAGGGUGAGAGCCCCGUAUAGUCGGCCACCGAUCCUCUGUAAAGCUCCUUCGACGAGUCGAGUAGUUUGGGAAUGCUGCUCAAAAUGGGAGGUAUAUCUCUUCUAAAGCUAAAUAUAGGCCAGAGACCGAUAGCGCACAAGUAGAGUGAUCGAAAGAUGAAAAGCACUUUGAAAAGAGGGUUAAAUAGCACGUGAAAUUGUUGAAAGGGAAGCGCUUGUGACCAGACUUGUGCCGGGCUGAUCAUCCAGUGUUCUCACUGGUGCACUCGACCCGGCUCAGGCCAGCGUCGGUUUUCGCGGGGGGAUAAAAGCUUCGGGAACGUGGCACCUUCGGGUGUGUUAUAGCCCGUUGCUUAAUACCUCCGUGGGGACCGAGGUUCGCGCUCUGCAAGGACGCUGGCAUAAUGGUCAUCAGCGACCCGUCUUGAAACACGGACCAAGGAGUCGAGGUUUUGCGCGAGUGUUUGGGUGUAAAACCCGCACGCGUAAUGAAAGUGAACGUAGGUGAGAGCUUCGGCGCAUCAUCGACCGAUCCUGAUGUAUUCGGAUGGAUUUGAGUAAGAGCGUAAAGCCUCGGACCCGAAAGAUGGUGAACUAUGCCUGAAUAGGGUGAAGCCAGAGGAAACUCUGGUGGAGGCUCGCAGCGGUUCUGACGUGCAAAUCGAUCGUCAAAUUUGGGCAUGGGGGCGAAAGACUAAUCGAACCAUCUAGUAGCUGGUUACCGCCGAAGUUUCCCUCAGGAUAGCAGUGUUGUUCUUCAGUUUUAUGAGGUAAAGCGAAUGAUUAGGGACUCGGGGGCGCUAUAUAGCCUUCAUCCAUUCUCAAACUUUAAAUAUGUAAGAAGCCCUUGUUACUUAAUUGAACGUGGGCAUUCGAAUGUACCAACACUAGUGGGCCAUUUUUGGUAAGCAGAACUGGCGAUGCGGGAUGAACCGAACGCGGGGUUAAGGUGCCAGAGUGGACGCUCAUCAGACACCACAAAAGGCGUUAGUACAUCUUGACAGCAGGACGGUGGCCAUGGAAGUCGGAAUCCGCUAAGGACUGUGUAACAACUCACCUGCCGAAUGUACUAGCCCUGAAAAUGGAUGGCGCUCAAGCGUCCCACCCAUACCCCGCCGUCAGGGUAGAAACGAUGCCCUGACGAGUAGGCG
rnacentral:rRNA from 1 species